UACGGAGGAUGCAAGCGUUAUCCGGAUUUAUUGGGUUUAAAGGGUGCGCAGGCGGACAAAUAAGUCAGUGGUGAAAUCUUUCGGCUUAACCGGGAAACUGCCAUUGAUACUGUUAGUCUUGAGUUCGGUUGAGGUAGGCGGAAUGUGUAAUGUAGCGGUGAAAUGCUUAGAUAUUACACAGAACACCAAUUGCGUAGGCAGCUUACUAGACCGACACUGACGCUGAGGCACGAAAGCGUGGGGAGCGAACAGG
rnacentral:rRNA from 1 species